GGAUGUAAGGGCCGAAUCCAAAGUCCACUGAAGUCAAUGGGAAUUUUUCCAUUGACUUCAAUGGGCUUUGGAUCAGUGCCUUAGUCC
rnacentral:pre_miRNA from 1 species